rnacentral:rRNA from 1 species
UACGUAGGGUGCAAGCGUUAUCCGGAAUUAUUGGGCGUAAAGAGCUCGUAGGCGGUUUGUCGCGUCUGCUGUGAAAACCCGAGGCUCAACCUCGGGCCUGCAGUGGGGUACGGGCAGACUAGAGUGCGGUAGGGGAGAUUGGAAUUCCUGGUGUAGCGGUGGAAUGCGCAGAUAUCAGGAGGAACACCGGUGGCGAAGGCGGGUCUCUGGGCAACAACUGACGCUGAGGAGCGAAAGCGUGGGGAGCGAACAGG